ACAAACACAUAACCAUUACUAAAUGUGUAAUAUUGACAGAGACUUUUCAUACUAUACUGAUGUUAGUUGUAAAUAAUAAUUUUGAAAAAACUCUUGAUACUUUUAGAAGAUAUUUCAACUAGCUUAGACCUGAAGGCUUUGUCUACAAAUAUUUACAUUCAGUUUUACUUAAAUUAUCAGUUUUGAAUUCCCAAACCAUCACCUACAGCUUUGCCUUCAAAGCUACUAGAGGUUAAAAGAGUUUUUUAAACGCCCUUGUGAGGUCACAGAGGCUGCCAAGAGGCCAGUAAGAGAAAGCAGACCUCACUGCCUGAAUGUCAAUUAUCCAGCCCCUGGGCACUCGCUCACAGAGUGCCACAGCUUAAAAUCAUUAUAAAGAUAGCAUUAAGACAAUUAAACAAAUUACUUGGAAUCAAGAGUACUUAAAAUCUAUCCCUAACGUGAAUAAAAGGUACCAGAGGACAACCUCAGAAAUUGAGGGAAAUUACAGAAAAGUGUUACAACAUGAGAUACUCAAGGACUGUUAUAGACGAGGCAGCAUGGGGUUUGAAGGAAGACAGCACUAGCAGGAAAAGAACUUCACACAUGACCUCAAACAUAUGAAUGCAGCCCAGAGGAAACGGAAGUAACGCAGUUACUUUCCUUCAAGUACACAAUGAAUAAGAAAGAGUAACUUGAACUUGCAUUAAGAAAAAUUUAGGUUAGGUAUUUUAAACACCAUCCCGCAAAAAAGGGCUGUAAAUCGCCACAAUGACUGAGAAAUUUCUUAUCAGCAUACUUCAGCCAUUUAAGAAUGUGAUAAGCAAAAGCUUUGUUAAAAACUAAGUUGUACCAUAAACUGUGGCAAUUCUAUAGUAAUUCAUUUAAUACUUUAACGGUUCAAAUGUUUCAAAAUGAACUUGUACAAAAUUCAGUCUUCAAGUAACAACUUGGGAGCGUUUACAGCAAUGUGAAAGAAAUGGUGGGCGGGGUGUGCUAUCUGUUCAGAAUGUUCCAAGUUUGAUGGCGGCCUGUGCUGCUAGUCUAACCAUGACCUCUCCUCCCCACACCAUCCAAAGUCGGGGAGAAAAACAGGAAAAAAAGAAAAAAAUAACACUGGCACUGAAAACAGCAAAGCUUAUUUUGCGUACCUCUUAAUCUAAAUACAAUGAAAGUUACUUUAAGAAAUAUGGAUUCAGCAUCACACAUCCAUAUAUAUGUAAGCUACACCAGCCCCCACAAAUAUUCUCGUCACAGAAGUAUCAUAAAACCACUUGCACCUUUCAUCCAAAAAUGUAAUGUGGGAUGAAAAGUAGUUUACCAAACUUUAAUAUUCACCAUAAGGUAAAAUUCAGCUAUUAAGUAUUUUGAAUUCUUAGAUUUACAACUGAAUUUAUUAAUUCAAUCAAUAAAAAUCUCUGGAGUUAACAAUCUCACAUAUGUGACAGUUGUAUCGGUGAGGCUUCAAGCUGGCAUGAAUCUCUCCAAAGGGGACUUUCUGUUACUUUUACUCCAUGAAUUCCAAGUUUGGUAAAGUAAACAAAUUACCCUUUUUAGGUAACAAACAUUUGCUCGUUUUUAAUAAAUCAAUCAUACACUACUUUAAAUCAGUACUUAUGACCAGGGUAAUAUGACUAUUGGUACCAAUCUGCGUUGCAGGUCCCUAGGAGUCUGAAAACUCCAGACUGGGGACCAUGGGUCUAUAAUGUAUUAAGCUCUAAAAACAAAAUAGAACUAUUAAAAGCAAACCGAUUUUUCACAAAUGGACUCUCAAUUUUAAACCACCCAAUAUUUCUUUGUCUAAAACCCAGAAUUUUCCCUGUAGCUGAAAUUCCACACAUGGUCUCCAUAUCCCCAAAGAAAUGCCCUUUCCAGAUGAGUUCCUAAGAACAGAAGUAUGUUUCUUCGAAGUCAGCAAGCUAUUUAUAAAAAGUACAGUAGCCCCCAAGGGAAGAUCAAUUGGCAAGUAUAAAAUUACCUUUAUAUAGUGUAGUAGCUGCUAUGCCCUUUCUUUUAAGGAGGACAAAUACAACAAUGAUCAAAAAAAUAAGGCAUGUGGAAUGUGAUAAUUUUAAUAUGGUGCCUGUCAUUACAAGAGGAAAAUACUACUGAUUUUCAUGACCCUGUAAAAUAUUUGAAUUACCAACUAAACUUGCAAGUGCAUAAAUAUCAUAAAGCCAAAUAAUGUACUUUCAUUACCACACCUAUCAUUUGAAACUAGAAAAAGCAACAUCUUAAAUGUUAAGAUAUCUUAUUUUUAGUAAUGUUAAAACAUAGCUUACUGAUUUAUGUAAGUUCUUCAACAUGUAAAUGGUUUAUAUUGAAUAUAUGCUAAAAUUUCCAUCAUUGCUUAAAAUUAGACAUAGUAAUGUUCAUAUAUAUAUAUAUAAAUAUAUAUAUAUAUAUAUAUCUCUGUGUGUGUACAUAUUUUUGUCUAUACAGCUUAAUUUGAAUUACUUUUCUUCCAAACACUCACUGAAGACCACAGAUGAUAUUUAAAACACUGUCCAACUGAUGUGGCCUGCACAUACCCAGGAAGAAUGGAAAAUGGC